GGGGCCGUAGGGUAGCCUGGUCUAUCCUUCGGGCUUUGGGGGCCUGGGACCCCGGUUCGAAUCCGGGCGGCCCCA
rnacentral:tRNA from 1 species